GAUGAACGCUGGCGGCGUGCUUAACACAUGCAAGUCGAACGGUGAAGGCGGAGCUUGCUCUGCUGGAUCAGUGGCGAACGGGUGAGUAACACGUGAGCAAUCUGCCCCUGACUCUGGGAUAAGCGCUGGAAACGGCGUCUGAUACUGGAUACGAGCUGCGAAGGCAUCUUCAGCAGCUGGAAAGAACUUCGGUCAGGGAUGAGCUCGCGGCCUAUCAGCUUGUUGGUGAGGUAACGGCUCACCAAGGCGUCGACGGGUAGCCGGCCUGAGAGGGUGACCGGCCACACUGGGACUGAGACACGGCCCAGACUCCUACGGGAGGCAGCAGUGGGGAAUAUUGCACAAUGGGCGAAAGCCUGAUGCAGCAACGCCGCGUGAGGGACGACGGCCUUCGGGUUGUAAACCUCUUUUAGCAGGGAAGAAGCGAAAGUGACGGUACCUGCAGAAAAAGCGCCGGCUAACUACGUG
rnacentral:rRNA from 1 species